rnacentral:tRNA from 1 species
UAGAUUAAAGUCCGCCGGUUUGGACAGCUAGCUGUUAAUUAGUUUUUGUGGGAUCGAGGCCCGCUGGUCUAG